GCGUUGGUGGUUCAGGGGUAGAAUUCUUGUCUUCCGUGCAGGAGACCCAGGUUUGAUUCCCAGACAACACA
rnacentral:tRNA from 1 species